rnacentral:misc_RNA from 1 species
GUUGAAGAACGUAGUGAAAUGCGAUAAGUAAUGUGAAUUGCAGAAUUCAGUGAAUCAUCGAAUCUUUGAACGCACAUUGCGCCCCUUGGUAUUCCGAGGGGCAUGCCUGUUCGAGCGUCAUUAUAACCCCUCAAGCUCGGCUUGGUGUUGGGGCCUGCCGCACGGGCAGCCCUUAAAAUCAGUGGCGGUGCCAUCUGGCUCUAAGCGUAGUAAUUCUUCUCGCUAUAGAGUCCCGGUGGAUGCUUGCCAUUAACCCCCAAUUUCAAUGGUUGACCUCGGAUCAGGUAGGGAUACCCGCUGAACUUAAGCAUAUCAAUAAGCGGAGGA